AUACGGAGGGGGCUAGCGUUGUUCGGAAUUACUGGGCGUAAAGCGCACGUAGGCGGAUUAAAAAGUUAGAGGUGAAAUCCCAGGGCUUAACCCUGGAACUGCCUUUAAAACUAGUAGUCUAGAGUUCGAGAGAGGUGAGUGGAAUUCCAAGUGUAGAGGUGAAAUUCGUAGAUAUUUGGAGGAACACCAGUGGCGAAGGCGGCUCACUGGCUCGAUACUGACGCUGAGGUGCGAAAGCGUGAGGAGCAAACAGGAUUAGAAACCCCUGUAGUCC
rnacentral:rRNA from 1 species